ACUGGAUCCCCUUUCUUUAGAGAGAGAAGAUAUCUUUGCUUCUCCAAAUAUGCAGCAAACAUCGCUCCCUGCAUCCCUAUCUUAGAUAAAAUUGAGUAUUUCUAUCUUUCCUAUCACAAGACCUCCUGAGCUCUGACCCAGUACUUGAUUUGGGAGCAACUGCACAACAUCUUCUACUCCCCAAUUGUGACGGUGAUGAUGACAUCACAAGGCUCCAUCUUAUAAGUCAUCAGGAUGCUGCAACAUUAGGAUUCUGCUAACAUACAUAGCAACCCCAGCUGGCCACUGGACCCAUUGCAGAUGCAAGGAAAGGCACCACCAAUUGGGAAUAAGCUUUGUUAUUGUUGUUAACUGCCAUCAAGUUAAUCUCAAUCCGUGGUGACCCUAAAUAGCAUUCAUUUGACACCCAAUGAACAGUAAGAAGAAAGAAGAGGAAGAGGAAUUUGUUGAGAUUUUCAUCCCAGAUUUAUUUGGAUGUUGACAUAACACUCAAGAUCCUGCACUGCGCUGUCAGAUAAUAAAGUUUCAUCUUCUCUCCCUUCCCUGUACCUGUGCUCUGUCUAAAUAUCCCUUCCACAACCAUUCAAUAGAGAGGAGAGAACUGGGCAGACAAGCAGCCAGCCAGUUGUAUUCCUGAAACUGACUGGGAGAAGAUAAUGUCAAAUACCUGGACUUCCAGAGGACCCGCAGAAACAUUUGGCAUAGAAGGCCCAGCCAGAAAACAGCUAAGUGCUUUGGGAAGGGUGUCUUAGCAGAAGGUGGUGUUGGAUGCCUCCAUCCACCAUAACCAAAAAUGUUACAUAUGAGAGACAUAUGUCAGUAAUAGAAUGCCAGGACUGGUAGCCAUAUAUAGGAUCACACUGCUAAGGCAUUAUUUGGAAUGCCACUUAAACUACUCCAUUUUCCUGUACAUGCUGCUCCAGGUACAGAAUGCUCUCCUGCCACCUCUUGUCUUUCUUACUGUGAAUUUCAUCACCAUCAUUAUCCAAAAUGAUGAAGAGCUUUGGCAAAAACAGUAUACCAUAUCCAUGUGGCUGUGUACUUGCAUUUCUCUGCACCUGGUCCAAGUUCAAACAUGUACUGAUGAUGGCAUGUAUCUGAGAAUAGCUGCGAUGCAUGAGGUGGAGA